CCUACGGGUGGCAGCAGUGGGGAAUAUUGGACAAUGUGGGGAACCCUGAUCCAGCGACGCCGCGUGAGUGAAGAAGUAUUUCGGUAUGUAACGCUCUAUCAGCAGGGAAGAAAGGAAUGACGGUACCUGACUAAGAAGCCCCGGCUAACUACGUGCCAGCAGCCGCGGUAAUACGUAGGGGCCAAGCGUUAUCCGGCUUUACUGGGGGUAAAGGGAGCGUAGACGGUUACGCAAGUCUGGAGUGAAAGGCGGGGGCCCAACCCCCGGACUGCUUUGGAAACUGUAUAACUGGAGUGCAGGAGAGGUAAGUGGAAGUCCUAGUGUAGCGGUGAAAUGCGUAGAUAUUAGGAGGAACACCAGUGGCGAAGGCGGCUUACUGGACUGUAACUGACGUUGAGGCUCGAAAGCGUGGGGAGCAAACAGGAUUAGAUACCCGAGUAGUC
rnacentral:rRNA from 1 species